GUCAAAUGUCACAUUUUGACACGCUUGGCUGAUUGAACAACUUUCAUAAGUUAAGCUGCUGGUUAAUAGUAGCUAUGAAGCAAGAAACUCUUGUGAAGAAUCUGUUCAUAAAGUAGUACUAAAGAUUGCUAUGAAAAUAAUCUGCCAGCAGAGGGCUCUUAACACCAUACUUCUGACAAAUACCUGCAAGAAUAAAACAAGAGCAAACAAAACUCUGGUGUUAAUUCAAACUUUUUUUCCUAUAUGUAGACCAUCUAGAAGUGUCUCCUAGAGCCAUCAGCUCCACUGUGCAAGACACGGUAUGAACAGAAGAGAUUUUGUUACUCACUGUGCAACCUUGGGCAAUACAUUUAGCAUGCUGUGCUUCAGUUUUCUCAUCUGUUAAAUGAGAAUAUUUAGGCCUGCCUCACAGAUGGAUUGUUGAACUGCUUUAAUAAUACAUGGAAAAUUUUAUAGAAGGGCAGAUGUAUUCUUAUUGCUAAACCAGGCAUGUGAUGUAAUUACCAGUGUCCUGUUGUCCAUUACUUUUCCUGUUAGAUGAUCUGAUCACAAUUGUAACAAAAAUAUACAUAGAAAGAUAGCUUUAUAUGCCAAAUUA